AACUUUCAACAAUGGAUCUCUUGGUUCUGGCAUCGAUGAAGAACGCAGCGAAAUGCGAUAAGUAAUGUGAAUUGCAGAAUUCAGCGAAUCAUCGAAUUUUUGAACGCACAUUGCACCUCAGAGUAUUCUUUGAGGUAUACCUGUUCGAGCGUCGUUUAGACCAUAAGGCUUUGCCUUGCGUUGAUAGAUUGGAAGUUUUUAUUAAAAACUUCCAACUGUCUAAACAUGUUGGCGUCGUAGUUUGACCAAGACACAGCAAAAUGUGGAAUUGGGCGAGCGAAUUCGAUAUUGCCUUGAAUCACUGUUUCUCUCUUGUGGGGAAACGCAGGUUCGACCUCGGAUCAGGUAAGACUACCCGCUGAAUUUAAGCAUAUCAAUAAGCGGAGGCU
rnacentral:misc_RNA from 1 species